rnacentral:rRNA from 1 species
UACGAAGGGGGCUAGCGUUGUUCGGAAUCACUGGGCGUAAAGGGCGCGUAGGCGGCUUGAUAAGUCGGGGGUGAAAGCCUGUGGCUCAACCACAGAAUUGCCUUCGAUACUGUCGAGCUUGAGACCGGAAGAGGUAAGUGGAACUGCGAGUGUAGAGGUGAAAUUCGUAGAUAUUCGGAAGAACACCAGUGGCGAAGGCGGCUCACUGGACCGGUAUUGACGCUGAGGUGCGAAAGCGUGGGGAGCAAACAGG